rnacentral:rRNA from 1 species
GAUGAACGCUGGCGGCGUGCCUAAUACAUGCAAGUCGAACGCUUCACUUCGGUGAAGAGUGGCGCACGGGUGAGUAAUACCUAAGUAACCUGGCAUCUACAGGGGGAUAACUGAUGGAAACGUCAGCUAAGACCGCAUAGGUGUAGAGAUCGCAUGAACUCUAUAUGAAAAGUGCUACGGGACUGGUAGAUGAUGGACUUAUGGCGCAUUAGCUUGUUGGUAGGGUAACGGCCUACCAAGGCGACGAUGCGUAGCCGACCUGAGAGGGUGACCGGCCACACUGGGACUGAGACACGGCCCAGACUCCUACGGGAGGCAGCAGUAGGGAAUUUUCGGCAAUGGGGGAAACCCUGACCGAGCAACGCCGCGUGAAGGAAGAAGUAAUUCGUUAUGUAAACUUCUGUCAUAGAGGAAGAACGGUGGAUAUAGGGAAUGAUAUCCAAGUGACGGUACUCUAUAAGAAAGCCACGGCUAACUACGUG